rnacentral:rRNA from 1 species
AUGCGGUCAAAACGGCGAGGGAAGGCCAAGCCGCUCAAGCAGGCCAAGGUCACCGAGAAGGACUACGACGAGGGGGAUAUGAAUUUGGUGGUGUAUGCUCUGAACACAAGAUCCUUUACUUACUCUGGUUUGGUUAAGACUGAUGAUGCCAUGGAUAAGAAAACAAUUUAA